rnacentral:tRNA from 1 species
GCCUGACUGGCUCAGUUGGUAGAGUAUGUGACUCUUGAUCGCAGGGUCCUGAGUUCAAGUCCCAUGUAUGGUG